GACAACAAGAAAGGGAGGCGGGCUGCUAGGCGUUAAGGUUUCUCUGUGCCAAGUGGUCCUUUUAUUUGUGACACUUGCCUGAGCCAACUCGUCCCGAGCGCGAUGUCCGUCUCAGCAAAGGCUCAAGGCUCUGUGAAGGGCUCCAAAGGUCAUAGCUCGACCACAGGCGGGCCGUCGAAGAACAACCGAAAUCACUUUACUGCUGCGGACGCCGCCGCAGCCGCGCUACCCGACCCCAUCGCGUACUUGGGUGGGAAGCAGCGUUCGGCAAACAGACGUGCCAAGUGCCACAAGCAGUUUGAAGAAAUCGCACGGGCCAUAUGCGCUAUGAAUUCGUCCACUCUGCCGGUGACAGAAGCCGCAGGGAGCUCGUCGAGGUGCGCUUCUGUUGCCUCGCCGUCACCUUCGUCAAACCUAACGACAGAGCAGUUGUUUCCCACGCUGCAAGUAGGGUACCUCGCGCGGGCCUUGGGUCUAAAUGUGUCAAAUCAGCAAGCAGCCUCAAUCGUGGAGCUCGUCGAAGACGACGGUCCCUCAACCGGGUUUGUCGACCGUCGCAAGCUGGGGCACGUUCUAGUGGAUGCAAUGAUGACAGGAACGCUAGGUGGACCGACUCUUCAUGCGUUUGCGGCCGAGAAUUUCGCCGCAACAACGCCCGCCAGCGACGACGGCCCUGUACGCCUCUCUGCAGAGCGUCUUGUCAACUUCGUUCCGUCAGUGUGCGUGCGGGAGGAGGAGGUUACACUGCUUCGAGCCUUCGAGGCACUGGAUAAGGAGCAGAAGGGCUACCUGGAAGAGGUGGAGCUCCGCGCUGCCAUGAUGGAAGGCGAUGAAUGCUUCUCGAGUGAAGAAGUGGACAAUAUGUGGAUGGCCAUGCUUGACCCAGAAACGAAUCGAGCACACUACCGUGACUUUGCUGAGAUACUAGCCAGGGACUGAGGGUGGCGAGAGCACCGCAUACCGAUAUGAUUCAGCCCCCUGCUUCUCCCACCACCACAGCUGUGUGACUCGAAACAGGUGUGUAGAAGAGGGGGGGGUGCCGACACGAUACAGUACGCACGGCCAUUGUCCUUGUUCUGUCUUCCUCCUUUGACAUCUGCGUCUCUCGUCUUGUGAAUGCCCCGGAGAAGGUGCCGGUGAGACAGAGACGGCGGCAGAGCAGCGGUAUUUUUGAUGCUCUCUCUCUCUCUCGUUCGUGAGCGCAUCUUUUUUUUUUCCUCCAUUGCUUGUCUCAUUCUCGUCGGGAUGCGAGACGCGGUGUGCGUGUGCAGUACGUAUGCUACCGGAUGUAACGUUUUCUGGACGAUGUUUUCCGCAACGUUUCUGUACAGACGAGGUCUGAAGCCCACACAACAGGG
rnacentral:misc_RNA from 1 species